AAGUGGCGGAUGGGUGAGUAACGCGUGGGCAACCUGCCCUAUACAGGGGGAUAACAAUGGGAAACCAUUGCUAAUACCCCAUAACACCUUUUACGGGCAUCCCUAAAAGGUCAAAGAAAUUCGGUAUAGGAUGGGCCCGCGUCUGAUUAGCUAGUUGGUGAGGUAAUGGCUCACCAAAGCAACGAUCAGUAGCCGGCCUGAGAGGGUGAACGGCCACACUGGAACUGAGACACGGUCCAGACUCCUACGGGAGGCAGCAGUGGGGAAUAUUGCACAAUGGGGGAAACCCUGAUGCAGCAACGCCGCGUGAGCGAUGAAGGUUUUCGAAUCGUAAAGCUCUGUCCUAAGGGAAGAUAAUGACGGUACCUUAGGAGGAAGCCCCGGCUAACUACGUGCCAGCAGCCGCGGUAACACGUAGGGGGCAAGCGUUAUCCGGAAUUAUUGGGCGUAAAGGGUGCGUAGGCGGCCCUAUGGGUCAGAGGUUAAAUGCUACGGCUUAACCGUAGCAUGCCUUUGAAACUAUAGGGCUUGAGUGCAGGAGAGGAGAGUGGAAUUCCUAGUGUAGCGGUGAAAUGCGUAGAUAUUAGGAGGAAUACCAGUGGCGAAGGCGACUCUCUGGACUGCAACUGACGCUAAGGCACGAAAGCGUGGGUAGCGAACAGGAUUAGAUACCCUGGUAGUCCACACUGUAAACCAUGAAAAGUCGCUGUCGGCGAUAACACAGUCGGGGGGGCAAGGAAAAACAUUAAGUUAUCCCCCCGGGGGAGUACGACCGCAAGGGUGAAACUCAAAGGAAUUGACGGGGGCCCGCCCCAGCGGAGGAACAUGUGGUUUAAUUCGAUGAUACGCGAGGAACCUUACCCGGGCUCGAACGGUGCAUGAAUAUACGAGAGAUUGUAUAGUCCUUCGGGACAUGUAUCGAGGUGGUGCAUGGUUGUCGUCAGCUCGUGCCGUGAGGUGUCGGCUUAAGUGCCAUAACGAGCGCAACCCUCGUCAUUAGUUGCCAUCAGGUCAAGCUGGGGACUUUAAUGAGACUGCCACCGUAAGGUGUGAGGAAGGGGGGGAGGACGUCAAAUCAGCACGGCCCUUAUGUCCGGGGCGACACACGUGUUACAAUGGGAGGUACAGAGGGCAGCUAUCCGGUGACGGAAUGAUAAUCUCCAAAACCUUUCUCAGUUCGGAUUGGAGUCUGCAACUCGACUCCAUGAAGGUGGAUUCGCUAGUAAUCGCGCAUCAGCCAUGGCGCGGUGAAUAAGUCCCCGGGCCUUGUACACACCGCCCGUCA
rnacentral:rRNA from 1 species